UGAAGUCGCGAUCUGCACAGCGGAGGGUCGAUCACUGAUGUUCUCUAAACCAGCUGAAAUUUGUCUCUGAUUAAAUCACUGUUUACAGCAAACUAGGCGGUUGGUUUUAACUAAGGUCGUGCUGUUGUGUUUAAGUAGAAACAUAGGUGUCAAACAUCCAUACGCAUUCAUAACGGAUCAGCGACAUUCCAUGUUCUCUCAAACGAGCGUGGAAUCUGAGAUCAUUGCUUACAACACUGUGACACUGCGUGUGAAACGUAAGAACUCGAGAGCUAAAUACUGCGGAUCAUGAAGCCUGGAAGCCAGAAACGCGUAGUCGCUGCCCCUAAGAUUAGAAAGCGUCACAGUACUGCCAGUUCAGACAGUUCCAGUGAGGGUGCCUGUAGUGUUGAGAAGCGUCUCAAGCAAGUGAGCCGUCUUCACACCACCGACAAGGAGGACAACGUCUGGGGCCCGAUCUUCAAAAGUCGCGAACACUUCCAGAGUAUGCACAUCUGUUAGAUGAAUUGCAGGCACUUUUUGUAGUUAUAUUUAAUCAUCGCACUGGUUUAUUUUAUGUUUGAACAUUUCCCGGCGUGGUACCAUUCUCUGUUGUGUGAUACUGGAAUAUUUGUGAGAUAUAAAAUCAUUUGGGUUUAGUAGAUCUGGGACCGAACAUCCAAUCUCUGUUUACAAACAAUGAAAUAUUCCUUCUCCCUGGUUUUCUUGGCCAGUACUACAGGAAAAUUGUUAUUUGUUAUUUGUCCAUCCAAAGAUAUUUUUUAAAGAAAAGAGUGAAAGUGGUGAAUGAAACAUUUUAGAAUGGUACCAGUGCUUGAAAUCACAGUGUCUCCAUUACUCCAUUAUGACUAAGAUUAUUGAAUUUGCUGGGCAACACUCACAAGGUAAUGCCAGGAAAGUGUUCUACCCUCCAUCAGUGUCGGCAUUUAGUUGCUUGUCUCAUGUUGGUUUUGGCAUUUUGUGGACUUGUGACCUAAAAAACCUGUGUAUCUUUUCAAUCUUUAAAUGCCAAGUUGAAUUCGAAGCUUUUGGGUCUGAUUCAUGUUAUGUAAACAAAGGAACAAAAAACCUCUUCUAAUUGUGAUUGUGCCACUGGACACAUAAACUGUCCAGACAAAGACCUAAACAUUCCGUUGGAAGUCCAUGUUUUGAAUUCGAUAAACUUGAUCAUAAGUCAAGUGGUGUUAGUACAAACCUAUACAAGGUACACCUGUCAUAAAGAAUGCAAGUACAAUCUUUCUUUGACAGAAGUGAAAGUAAACACCACGCCUGUAGGAUCUUUCCUCUAGUUGAGCUAAAAGCUUCAAAAGCAGCUUGUACCAUCUGUAAUUCAAGACCUUGCAAAUUUUAUGAAUAAAUGCUUUUAGUGAA